rnacentral:rRNA from 1 species
UACGUAGGGUCCGAGCGUUGUCCGGAAUUAUUGGGCGUAAAGGGCUCGUAGGCGGUUUGUCGCGUCGGGAGUGAAAACUCAGGGCUCAACCCUGAGCGUGCUUCCGAUACGGGCAGACUAGAGGUAUGCAGGGGAGAACGGAAUUCCUGGUGUAGCGGUGGAAUGCGCAGAUAUCAGGAGGAACACCGGUGGCGAAGGCGGUUCUCUGGGCAUUACCUGACGCUGAGGUGCGAAAGCGUGGGGAGCAAACAGG